UGGUAUGCCCGAAGUCGGUUUUGUUAACUACGGAGACAACUGCCUAAGGCAGGACUGGUGACUGGGGUGAAGUCGUAACAAGGUAUCCCUACGAGAACGUGGGGAUGGAUUACCUCCUUUCUACGGAGUACAAUUAGUUACAACUAAAUUUUAGUAACUUGUUCUAUUUUGAUUGCAUUUCAUAAAAUUAUUUUUAAUAAUGUCAUGUAGUGCUUAGCAAUCAGCAAUAUAUAUCUAGUUUUGAGAGAACUUUCUCUCUUAAAUAUGUUCUUUGAAAACUGAAUAGUAAAGAUAAAUUAAUAUACAACGACAUCAAAAAUAUAAAAUGAUUUUGGUCAUUUUGUUUUGAUUGAACCGAGUGAUUAUUACAAAGUAAUAAUUUAUUAAAAUGUCUUUGAAUACAUCAACAAUAGGAAAAUACUAACUUUUAAAUAAGGAAGAGUGUGUAGUGGAUGCCUUGGGUCUGGAAGUCGAUGAAGGACGUGCAAAC
rnacentral:misc_RNA from 1 species